GGACGAGCCUCUGGAGAGACUCAUUUUGUAAUGAGCACCGAAGGAGCAAGGCGAUUUCAAUUAACAAUCUACAAUUAAUAAUUGAGAAAUAAGAGUAUAAAGAAAGUUUGAAUAACAAAAUCAUAGAUUUUAUUAUUACUUUCUAUAGGAUUUCUAAUGAAAUAUAAUUAAGAAAUGUCUAUAACACCCUCAAUUGUAAUUUGUGAAUUGAUUUGCUGAAACUCUCAGGUAAAAGGACAGGGGAAGGAAC
rnacentral:ncRNA from 1 species